rnacentral:rRNA from 1 species
GAUGAACGCUGACAGAAUGCUUAACACAUGCAAGUCUACUUGAUCCUUCGGGUGAUGGUGGCGGACGGGUGAGUAACGCGUAAAGAACUUGCCCUGCAGUCUGGGACAACAUUUGGAAACGAAUGCUAAUACCGGAUAUUAUGUGAGUUUCGCAUGAAAUUCAUAUGAAAGCUAUAUGCGCUGCAGGAGAGCUUUGCGUCCUAUUAGCUAGUUGGUGAGGUAACGGCUCACCAAGGCGAUGAUAGGUAGCCGGCCUGAGAGGGUGAACGGCCACAAGGGGACUGAGACACGGCCCUUACUCCUACGGGAGGCAGCAGUGGGGAAUAUUGGACAGUGGACCAAAAGUCUGAUCCAGCAAUUCUGUGUGCACGAUGAAGUUUUUCGGAAUGUAAAGUGCUUUCAGUUGGGACGAAGUAAGUGACGGUACCAACAGAAGAAGCGACGGCUAAAUACGUGCCAGCAGCCGCGGUAAUACGUAUGUCGCAAGCGUUAUCCGGAUUUAUUGGGCGUAAAGCGCGUCUAGGCGGUUUGGUAAGUCUGAUGUGAAAAUGCGGGGCUCAACUCCGUAUUGCGUUGGAAACUGCCAAACUAGAGUACUGGAGAGGUGGGCGGAGCUACAAGUGUAGAGGUGAAAUUCGUAGAUAUUUGUAGGAAUGCCGAUGGGGAAGCCAGGCCACUGGACAGAUACUGACGCUAAAGCGCGAAAGCGUGGGUAGCAAACAGG